rnacentral:rRNA from 1 species
AAGCAUAUCAAUAAGCGGAGGAAAAGAAACUAACAAGGAUUCCCCUAGUAACUGCGAGUGAAGCGGGAAAAGCUCAAAUUUAAAAUCUAAUAGUUUUUAACUAUUCGAGUUGUAAUCUGGAGAAGUGUUUUCCGUGCUGGACCGUGUAUAAGUCUCUUGGAAUAGAGCGUCAUAGAGGGUGAGAAUCCCGUCUUUGACACGGACUACCAGUGCUUUGUGAUGCACUCUCAAAGAGUCGAGUUGUUUGGGAAUGCAGCUCAAAAUGGGUGGUAAAUUCCAUCUAAAGCUAAAUAUUGGCGAGAGACCGAUAGCGAACAAGUACCGUGAGGGAAAGAUGAAAAGCACUUUGGAAAGAGAGUUAAACAGUACGUGAAAUUGCUGAAAGGGAAACGCUUGAAGUCAGUCGCGUUGACUAGAACUCAGCCUGGCUUCGGCUUGGUGUAUUUUCUAGUUUGACGGGCCAGCAUCAGUUUUGACUGCUAGAAAAAGACUAGAGAAAUGUGGCACCUCCGGGUGUGUUAUAGUCUCUAGUUGUAUAUAGUGGUUGGGACUGAGGUUUGCAGCACGCCUUUAUGGUUGGGGUUUUUUUAACCUACAUUCGUGCUUAGGAUGCUGGCAUAAUGGCUUUAAACGACCCGUCUUGAAACACGGACCAAGGAGUCUAACAUGCCUGCGAGUGUUUGAGUGGUAAACUCAAGCGCGUAAUGAAAGUGAAAGUUGGGAUCUCUGUCGUGGAGAGCACCGACGCCCGGACCAGACCUACUGUGACGGAUCCGCGGUAGAGCAUGUAUGUUGGGACCCGAAAGAUGGUGAACUAUGCCUGAAUAGGGUGAAGCCAGAGGAAACUCUGGUGGAGGCUCGUAGCGAUUCUGACGUGCAAAUCGAUCGUCAAAUUUGGGUAUAGGGGCGAAAGACUAAUCGAACCAUCUAGUAGCUGGUUCCUGCCGA